rnacentral:rRNA from 1 species
UACGGAGGGUGCGAGCGUUGUCCGGAAUUAUUGGGCGUAAAGAGCUCGUAGGCGGUUUGUCGCGUCUGCCGUGAAAGUCCGGGGCUCAACUCCGGAUCUGCGGUGGGUACGGGCAGACUAGAGUGAUGUAGGGGAGACUGGAAUUCCUGGUGUAGCGGUGAAAUGCGCAGAUAUCAGGAGGAACACCGAUGGCGAAGGCAGGUCUCUGGGCAUUAACUGACGCUGAGGAGCGAAAGCAUAGGGAGCGAACAGG